CAGUAGCCACGGGAAUACGAAGGGUGCAAGCGUUACUCGGAAUUACUGGGCGUAAAGCGUGCGCAGGCGGUUUGUUAAGACAGAUGUGAAAUCCCCGGGCUCAACCUGGGAACUGCAUUUGUGACUGGCAAGCUAGAGUGUGGCAGAGGGGGGUGGAAUUCCGCGUGUAGCAGUGAAAUGCGUAGAUAUGCGGAGGAACACCGAUGGCAAAGGCAGCCCCCUGGGCCAACACUGACGCUCAUGCACGAAAGCGUGGGGAGCAAACAGGAUUAGAUACCCGGGUAGUCCCUGUCUCUUAUAA
rnacentral:rRNA from 1 species